rnacentral:rRNA from 1 species
CAGCCGCCACGGGAAAACGGAGGGUGCAAGCGUUAUCCGGAUUCACUGGGUUUAAAGGGUGCGUAGGCGGGCAGGUAAGUCAGUGGUGAAAUCUUCGAGCUUAACUCGGAAACUGCCGUUGAUACUAUCUGUCUUGAAUAACGUUGAGGUGAGCGGAAUAUGUCAUGUAGCGGUGAAAUGCUUAGAUAUGACAUAGAACACCGAUUGCGAAGGCAGCUCACUAAACGCUCAUUGACGCUGAGGCACGAAAGCGUGGGGAGCAAACAAGAUUAGAUACCCCCGUAGUCCCUGUCUCUUAUAC